GAUGAACGCUGGCGGCGUGCCUAAUACAUGCAAGUCGAACUUGAUUUUCGGAUUGAGUGGCGAACGGGUGAGUAAGACAUAGGUAACCUGGCUUAUAGAGGGGGAUAACCACUGGAAACGGUGGAUAAUACCACAUGAAUAUAUCGAAGGCAUCUUGGAUAUAUAAAAGGAGCUAAGGCUUCGCUAUAAGAUGGGCUUAUGACGCAUUAGCUAGUUGGUGAGGUAAAAGCUUACCAAGGCGACGAUGCGUAGCCGGACUGAGAGGUUGAACGGCCACACUGGGACUGAGACACGGUCCAGACUCCUACGGGAGGCAGCAGUGGGGAAUAUUGGACAAUGGGCGAAAGCCUGAUCCAGCCAUGCCGCAUGAGUGAAGAAGGCCUUUGGGUUGUAAAGCUCUUUUAGUGAGGAAGAUAAUGACGGUACUCACAGAAGAAGUCCUGGCUAACUCCGUGCCAGCAGCCGCCGCCGUAACAC
rnacentral:rRNA from 1 species